AUGUGCAGAUGUGAAGGGGUUUUUGGCAUCAAACUUAAAGAGGAGGAGUUUGGCAGAUAUGAGAUGAUCUUACAUUCACUAGACUGUCAUAAAACUUACUCCUGUUGUAGUGAAACACACACAUGUACAAUGAUGCUUCAUUCAGUCAUUCUACUUUGGGCUUUGACAUGUGUGAGUUUUGGAGCUGAAAUCACACCAGACAGCACUGAGGAAUCUGCUGCAGUGGGUUCAACUGUUACUUUAUCCUGCAGUUAUUCCUCUGCAGACUCACUUCAAUGGUACCGUCAGUAUCCCGGAUCAGCUCCUCAGUUUCUUGUGCUCAUAAUAGAUGGUAUAAAAGAGACUAAGCCAUCUAGUGUAGAUCCCAGGUUUUCUACUAAGCUCAGAAAAGAAAAUCAAGCAACAAAAGAGAUCAGCCGUGUGGAUCUGAAGAUCUCCUCUGCUGCUGUAUCAGACUCUGCUCUGUACUACUGUGCUCUGAGGCCCACAGUCACAGGAAACACAAGAACACUCUACAAAAACCUAAUACACAGAUAAAGCUGUAUUUAUUUCCAUAAAUAUAUAUUAUAAAUUCACACUGCAUUAAUUUGAGAUAAACAAUAUAUAAACUAUAUAGUUGAAGCAGUGGUACAAUGAAUUAUAAUAUUUUUAAUAUUUUAACACUUAAUACUAUCAUGAAUGCUCUUUCUUUACACUUCCCCCUAGGAUGCAAGUCACUGACUAAAUGUUGAUUCAAAUACAGUUCAGCAUGAAUUUUUGUAAUAACUCUUUUUAUCACCAAAAUACACAUCAGCCCUAAAUUCACUCUUUGUGGAUAAGCACAUCUAAAGAGAGACAUACUGCUGAUAAUCUGGUUAUGAUUUAAAGUCAUAUAGCGAAGUACUGUAAUAAAGUGCUGCAUAAGGAAUAAAUCGAGAUCAUAUUCUGUUUAAUUACAUAAUCAUGUAAGAGAGUCAGUACGUAACCACAAGAGGGUGCUAUGCAGUAUAGCACAUGAAUAGUACUCAAAUAACAUAAUUGUCUAUGAAACAGAUCUGAUCUGCUCUGCUCUCUCAAAGAGCUCUUUGGAAGAGGUGGGGUUUAAACACUGAUAUCUGAUGUGAUCUUCUUUAACUUCAAGUCUGUUAGAGAGAGAAUAAGAAACGCACAAUGAGUCUCUAUUCUGUCAUUCUGCUUUCUGCCUUUGCACGUAAGUAUUGAAAUGUUUUGAAUCUAAAUACUCAAAAUGGAGCCAUAAUGGCUAUUUUCUGCUCAAAAUUAAGAAUAAAUGUUUUUCUUUUUGUUGUAUCUUGCGUUCUAUACUG
rnacentral:lncRNA from 1 species